rnacentral:rRNA from 1 species
UACGGGGGGGGCAAGCGUUGUUCGGAAUUACUGGGCGUAAAGGGCUCGUAGGCGGCCAACUAAGUCCGACGUGAAAUCCCAAGGCUUAACCUUGGAACUGCGUCGGAUACUGGAUGGCUUGAAUUCGGGAGAGGGAUGCAGAAUUCCAGGUGUAGCGGUGAAAUGCGCAGAUAUCAGGAGGAACACCGGUGGCGAAGGCGGUUCUCUGGGCAUGUCCUGACGCUGAGGAGCGAAAGUGUGGGGAGCGAACAGG